CUCAGCGAGGUUCCAGGCAGGAAACGGGGGGCCAACUUUCCUGUCGCACAGACCUUCCCGCUGUCCUCGAGCAGCUCCCUCAGGGUCCCCCCCCUUACACGUCUGUGGGUUUGGGGGAGCAGGAGGGCACCGCAGUGUCUCCUCUCCCCGCUCCCAUUCUGCCCCAAGAGCAAGCAGCCUCCGGCCCGGGAACGCUCAGUUCCCCUCCCUCCCACUGCCGUCCCGUCGUGGCGACACAGCAGGGUGGUGGUAGGCCGAAGGGGACAGUGAGCUGUGCCAGGGCCGGUUGUGCCAUUUCUCUCAGUCCUUUUCUCUGAGCGGCUGCCGGAUUGCCAACUUGGAGCCCUUCUUCAGGGUGUGGGAGCCUCUGACGCUUCGGUGUCCGGCCGGGGGCUUUGCAGCGCGGGGCCCGCGGGAAGAGCACCCACGGCCGGUCCCCGCCUUCUUUCCUCGUCUCCACCGAACCUCUCUGGCUCUGCCCGCCCAGUUUCCAAAGGGAAAGGGCCGAGGUCUACAGCCGGUGGGACAGUUUUCCCCAAGGACGGUUCGGGCUUUUAUCCAUCUGCUGGUUUGAUAGUAAAUCAGAGUGGAAGCAUCAGCAGAGUCGAAGCUGACAUUCUCUCCCUGACUCCGCAUCGGACUGUGGUGUGCCCGGAUUGUGAUCUGGCCAAGCUCACUGGUCCACAGAAUAUGACUAGAGUGCAAGGGAGUUCAAGAACCUCUCGUGAUGUCUCCAUGUCUCCCUGGGGUCUGGAGUCUACAGUUUGGAAAUCAUUGCUGGAGUCUCUUGUAUCCUGAAUCCAGGCCCGGCUUUCUCUCAACAGUGCUGUCCAGAUGGAGAGCCACGGAAAGCUUUCAAACAGGGGAACCGUGAUGGAAAUAAUUAUUCCACGUCUAUUUCAGUGAGCCUCCUUUCAGUGUGCCUUUGUGUGUAGCUGACUCUAAUAAAGCAAAAAACUACAUUUCCC
rnacentral:lncRNA from 1 species